AUGAUUGUAGCUAACACCCUCUUUAGAAAGAGAGAAUCACAUCUGGUGACUUUUAGUAGUGGCCAACACUCUAGCCAAAUUGAUUUCAUCCUCUCGAGAAGAGAAGAUAGGCGUGCGUGCCUAGACUGUAAGGUGAUACCUGGGGAGAGUGUUGUACCCCAGCAUAAGCUGGUGGUUGCUGACUUCCGCUUUCGGAUUCGUGUCCAGCGGGAUAAGCGUGCCAAGGUCGCUAGAACGAAGUGGUGGAAGCUCAAGGGGGAGGUAGCUCAGGUGUUCAAGGAGAGGGUAUUUAAGGAGGGCCCUUGGGAGGAAGGAGGGGAUGCGGACAAUGUGUGGAUGAAGAUGGCGACUUGCAUUCGUAAGGUGGCCUCGGAGGAGUUUGGAGUGUCCAGGGGAAGGAGAAGCGAAGAUAAGGAUACCUAG
rnacentral:rRNA from 1 species